rnacentral:rRNA from 1 species
UUAGUAGCGGCGAGCGAAGCGGGAAGAGCCCAAUAUGAAAAGCCAGCUUGCUGGCGUUGUAGUUGAGCGUCUUUGGGGUGUCAGUUCGGGAAAGUGGCAUGAAAGUGCUCACCGGGGAGGGUGAAAGUCCCGUCCAUCCCGUUCAGGACACCUCGCACAAAGACGUUUCAGACGAGUCGGGUAGCUUGGGAAUGCUGCUCUAAUUGGUGGUAAAUCUCAUCAAAGGCUAAAUACUGGUGGGAGACCGAUAGUGAACAAGUACCGUGAGGGAAAGAUGAAAAGUACUUUGAAAAGAGGGUAAAAAGAACCUGAAACCGUUACGGGGGAAGCGGAUUGCGUUGGCCUGGUGGCUGCUUGUGUGUUCAGCCCUUUGUGGUGCAUUGAUACAGGUGGUUAUUCGUCGUGGCUUUUCGGUGGCUGAUAAUGAGUUGCUGAAUGGUGAGGGCUCCCCUUUUUGGGUGAGGACGACGAAGUGAUGACGCGAUACGACCCGUCUUGAAACACGGACCAAGGAGUCUAGCGCAGGUGCGAGUCAAAGGGUGUCAAAACCUGUGGGCGCAGUGAAAGCGACUUUUUUUUUAAAAAAGAAAAACGAGCAGUUUGGGGCGGCAUAGAAUCGUUGAUUCUAGGUCCGACCUUGAGCAGUUGCGCUGGGACCCGAAAGAUGGUGAACUAUGCCGGAGUAGGGCGAAGCCAGAGGAAACUCUGGUGGAGGCUCGUAGCGGUGCUGACGUGCAAAUCGCUCGUCGAACUUGGGUAUAGGGGCGAAAGACUAAUCGAACCAUCUAGUAGCUGGUUUCCUCCGAAGUUUCUCUCAGGAUAGCAGGCCGACACUUUUUUUAAGUUGUUUUGUGCGGUAAAGCGAAUGAUUAGCGCAUUCGGGGGCGUUUAGCCUUUGGGCGAUUCUCAAACUUUAAAUGCGCAAGGGUACUGGUGCUUUGUUGAGCGGUACCGUUAAAAACGUCGGCCUUGUGGGCCACUUUUGGUAAGCAGAACUGGCGAUACGGGAUGAACCGUAAGCAUGGUUAAGGUGCCAAACUGCCCGCUUAUAGAUCCCACAAAAGGUGUUGAUUCAUCGAGACAGCAGGACGGUGGCCAUGGAAGUCGGAAUCCGCUAAGGAGUGUGUAACAACUCACCUGCCGAAUGAAUCAGCCCUGAAAAUGGAUGGCGCUUAAGCGGGCGACCGACACCAUGCCGUCUGUACAAGAUGAAUGUUUUACAGAUGAGUAGGAGGACGUGGCGGUUGUGUCGAAGCAUGCGUGCGAACGCGUGUGGAACGGCCGCUAGUGCAGAUCUUGGUGGUAGUAGCAAAUAUUCAAGCGAGAUCCUUGAAGGGCGAAGCGGGGAAGGGUUCCACGCGAACAUUGAUUGGGCGUGGGUGAGUCGUUCCUAAGCCGAGUGGCAAUUGCUAAGUAGCGGCGAAAGGGAAGCAGGUUGACAUUCCUGCACACGGAUGUGGAGGCGGUGACGCUUUAAUGAGGGCGAACACGCUGGCGAUGGCGCUGGGCAGAGAUUUCUUUUCUGUUUGACCGCUGAAGCGCGCGGUGUGGAAUCCGCUUGUCGGGAGAAACACGCGCGUUCGGGCAGAGCGCCGGGGCUAUUCCGGCGUCCAGCUCGCCAUCGACGGCCCUUGAAAAUUUGCCUGCUGAAAUAGUGUUUUUUUUAUACUAUGAAGAUCCACGCCGUGGCGUACCGAUAACCGCAUCAGGUCCCCAAGGUGAACAGCCUCUGCUCUAUAUGAAUAAUGCAGGUAAGGGAAGUCGGCAAAUUGGACCCGUAACUUUGGGAAAAGGGUUGGCUCUAGUGCUGCGUGGGAGUAGUUGUCGGGUGUGGGCGUUUUUGGACUUGCUGAGCGAGCGCGAGGAAGCGCCUCUUUCCUUUUUUAGGAGAGUCGGAGUUUCUUUGUGUUCAAUUGGCGAGUCUGCAUCCGCCUCGCUCGACGACGCCCACAGCAUGCAGCAGACUAGAACUGCAACGGGCAAAGGGAAUCCGACUGUUUAAUUAAAACAAAGCAUUGCGA